rnacentral:rRNA from 1 species
AGAGUUUGAUCAUGGCUCAGGAUGGACGCUGGCGGCUUGCUUGACACAUGCAAGUCGAGCGAAGCGCUUUUACUUGGAUUUCUUCGGAAUGCACGAGUAUUGUGACUGAGCGGCGGACGGGUGAGUAACGCGUGGGUAACCUGCCUCAUACAGGGGGAUAACAGUUAGAAAUGACUGCUAAUACCGCAUAAGACCACAGCACCGCAUGGUGCAGAGGUAAAAACUCCGGUGGUAUGAGAUGGACCCGCGUCUGAUUAGCUGGUUGGUGGGGUAACGGCCUACCAAGGCGACGAUCAGUAGCCGGCCUGAGAGGGCGACCGGCCACAUUGGGACUGAGACACGGCCCAAACUCCUACGGGAGGCAGCAGUGGGGAAUAUUGCACAAUGGGGGAAACCCUGAUGCAGCGACGCCGCGUGAAGGAAGAAGUUUUCGGUAUGUAAACUUCUAUCAGCAGGGAAGAAAAUGACGGUACCUGACUUAAGAAGCCCCGGCUAACUACGUGCCAGCAGCCGCGGUAAUACGUAGGGGGCAAGCGUUAUCCGGAUUUACUGGGUGUAAAGGGAGCGUAGACGGAGAGGCAAGUCUGAUGUGAAAACCCGGGGCUCAACCCCGGGACUGCAUUGGAAACUGUUUUUCUAGAGUGUCGGAGAGGUAAGCGGAAUUCCUAGUGUAGCGGUGAAAUGCGUAGAUAUUAGGAGGAACACCAGUGGCGAAGGCGGCUUACUGGACGAUGACUGACGUUGAGGCUCGAAAGCGUGGGGAGCAAACAGGAUUAGAUACCCUGGUAGUCCACGCCGUAAACGAUGACUACUAGGUGUCGGGUGGCAAAGCCAUUCGGUGCCGCAGCCAACGC